rnacentral:rRNA from 1 species
UAGUCCACGCCGUAAACGAUGAGUGCUAGACGUCGGAUUUAUUCGGUGUCGUAGCUAACGCGUUAAGCACUCCGCCUGGGAAGUACGGUCGCAAGAUUAAAACUUAAAGGAAUUGACGGGGACCCGCACAAGCGGUGGAUCAUGUGGUUUAAUUCGAGGCAACGCGAAGAACCUUACCACUCCUUGACAUACUCGUCGCGGUUGUCUUUACAGACGACCUUCAGUUGGGCUGGACGAUGUACAGGUGCUGCAUGGCUGUCGUCAGCUCGUGUCGUGAGAUGUUGGGUUAAGUCCCGCAACGAGCGCAACCCUCGCCGUUAGUUACCAUCAGGUUAUGCUGGGGACUCUAGCGGAACUGCCGGUGACAAGCCGGAGGAAGGUGGGGAUGACGUCAAGUCUUCAUGGGCCCUUAUGGGGGUGGGGCUACACACGUGAUACAAUGGCUACUACAAUGGGAUGCGACUUCGCGAGGAGGAGCCAACCCCUAAAAGUAGUCCC